rnacentral:rRNA from 1 species
GCCUGGAAGUUGUGCCAGCUGGCGUGAUUUCCCCUAUACUCAAUGAAUUAAUGUGAACUGCAUAAUGCUUUGAACAUCGACAUCUUGAACGCAUAUUGCGGCCGCGGGAUAUCCCGUGGCCACGUCUGGCCGAGGGUCGGCU